rnacentral:tRNA from 1 species
GCGGGUGUAGUUUAGUGGUAAAACCAUAGCCUUCCAAGCUGUUGUCGCGAGUUCGAUUCUCGUCACCCGCU